UACAGAGGGUGCAAGCGUUGUUCGGAAUUAUUGGGCGUAAAGGGUGCGUAGGCGGGUCUUUAAGUCAGGGGUGAAAUCCUGGAGCUCAACUCCAGAACUGCCUUUGAUACUGGCGAGCUUGAGUUCGGGAGAGGUGAGUGGAACUGCGAGUGUAGAGGUGAAAUUCGUAGAUAUUCGCAAGAACACCAGUGGCGAAGGCGGCUCACUGGCCCGAUACUGACGCUGAGGUGCGAAAGCGUGGGGAGCAAACAGG
rnacentral:rRNA from 1 species